rnacentral:rRNA from 1 species
GGGCCUUUAGAGCGGAGGCUACUUAUACCAUCGCGAACUCGUCCAAGUUGCUUCGGCGGCGCGGCCCCCCUCACGGGGGCGCCGCAGCCCCGCCUCUCCGGAGGUGUGGGGCGCCCGCCGGAGGUACGAAACUCUGUAUUAUAGUGGCAUCUCUGAGUAAAAAACAAAUAAGUUAAAACUUUCAACAACGGAUCUCUUGGUUCUGGCAUCGAUGAAGAACGCAGCGAAAUGCGAUAAGUAAUGUGAAUUGCAGAAUUCAGUGAAUCAUCGAAUCUUUGAACGCACAUUGCGCCCGCUAGUACUCUAGCGGGCAUGCCUGUUCGAGCGUCAUUUCAACCCUCAAGCCCUGCUUGGUGUUGGGGCCCUACGGCUGCCGUAGGCCCUGAAAGGAAGUGGCGGGCUCGCUACAACUCCGAGCGUAGUAAUUCAUUAUCUCGCUAGGGACGUUGCGGCGCGCUCCUGCCGUUAAAGACCAUCUUUAACUCAAGGUUGACCUCGGAUCAGGUAGGAAUACCCGCUGAACUUAAGCAUAUCAAUAAGCGGAGGAA